AGAUUUUACUGGUGAGAACUCCACACUUCGCCGUAAACUCACAGUUUUAGAGCUCGCAACACUAAUCUUUUUUGAAGUAAGUGGAGGGCCCUAUGGCAUAGAAGAGGUCGUUAGGACUGGAGGUCCACUUUUUGCGAUUAUAGGGUUAAUAGUUGCACCCGUGAUAUGGUCAAUUCCGAUCGCAUUAAUGACGGCUGAGCUAUCUAGUAAUUAUCCUCACACGGGAGGCCAAGUCUUCUGGGCUUACGAGGCUUUUGGCUCCUUCUGGGGGUU